GUUGUUGAGUUUUGCUGUUUUAUGAAUGUUUAAUGUGUUUUUAACUACCUCAAUCUCGCUUUUACAAUAUCUGAGACAUGAACAUGUUGAAGAUGUAGAAUGGCUCUGCCCCGUGUGCCGCAGCAAGCCACAGCCUGCCGGAGAGAGCACAUCAACAUAGUAGAAAAUCAUGGACAUCCGGAGAGAACUAUGCGGCAUGACAAACUCUACGAGCACUGGUGGUUCCUCCCUGCCGUCUCACGGCAGCGGCGCGACGGUGUCGAGAACGGUGGCUUGGUCGGCGUGGAAUCCGGCGAAGCGCUGCGCGCUGAGGGUGGGUGAUAGAUGACCGGUCACUGAACAAUGAAGCGAGUCAGAUCAUUGGGCACAGUGAUUACCAGCCACGCAUCGCGGCUGGUCCGCGGAAGUUAUUGCUUUGAUGUCGGACUAAGUCACACAAUGUUUUGUCACAUUCUAGAGUGAUGUUGACAAUGGAAUGCAUCGCUAAUUUGCUUCCGAUGCUGCCUUAACGGUGAUAUGAGAUGCGUGAUAAACCGUUUGUUUGUUUGUUUGUUUGUUUGUUUCGUUGGGUUAGGCCCUUUCGGUCCGAUGAGACCAUUGCAGAGCCGGGAGGAUGAUAUGACUUGGGGGGAGGGGGCAUGGGGCGAGCACCCUAGUGAGUCGCCGGGGCUGAGCCCAUUUAAAUGGGCAGGCCACCCAGCCCCCAGGCUACGGGCGUGCUCGGCUUAUGGGCAAUCCCGCAUGGAAUAAAGUUGCCCGUCCAGCCCGGACCAGGGGGUUGAGGCGUGGAGAAGAAGGG